rnacentral:rRNA from 1 species
UACAGAGGGUGCGAGCGUUGUUCGGAAUUAUUGGGCGUAAAGGGUGCGUAGGCGGUUUUGUAAGUCUUAUGUGAAAUCUAUGGGCUCAACUCAUAGACUGCAUGAGAAACUGCAGGGCUUGAGUAUGGGAGAGGUGAGUGGAAUUCCUGGUGUAGCGGUGAAAUGCGUAGAUAUCAGGAGGAACACCUGUGGCGAAAGCGGCUCACUGGACCAUAACUGACGCUGAUGCACGAAAGCUAGGGGAGCAAACAGG